rnacentral:snoRNA from 12 species
UGAUGACAUUCUCCGGAAUCGCUGUACUGCCUUGAUGAAAGUACACUUGAACCCUUUUCCAUCUGACGACUGAGCCCUUCCAUU